AAAUUGAAGAGUUUGAUCAUGGCUCAGAUUGAACGCUGGCGGCAGGCCUAACACAUGCAAGUCGAACGGUAACAGGAAGCAGCUUGCUGCUUCGCUGACGAGUGGCGGACGGGUGAGUAAUGUCUGGGAAACUGCCUGAUGGAGGGGGAUAACUACUGGAAACGGUGGCUAAUACCGCAUAACGUCGCAAGACCAAAGAGGGGGACCUUCGGGCCUCUUGCCAUCAGAUGUGCCCAGAU
rnacentral:rRNA from 51 species